AAGCGCUUGCAACCAGACUUGUGUACAGCAGUUCCCCUCGUCUUCUGACCUGGUUAUUCUGUUGUGUCCAGGCCAGCAUCGGUUCGGGUGGUUAGUUAAAGGUCCUGGGAAUGUAUCUACCUUCGGGUCGACUUAUAGCCCAGGUCGUAAUGUAGCCUACCUGGACCGAGGAACGCGCUUCGGCUCGGAUGCUGGCGUAAUGGUUGUAAGCGG
rnacentral:rRNA from 1 species